UUUAAAGGUGGCGUGCAUCUGUAAAGGGUUCGGUUCUGAAAUUCAAUCUCUUGCAACAAUCAACCAGAGACAUUUUAGUCAGAAUUAGGGCAAGAUAGAAGUAUGCCAAUGCAGUGUCGCUUGUUUUCCCUCCACGAUGAACAUUUUUUCCUAUAAAAAUGCACCUCCAUUUUGUUCUGUGUUAUGAUCUUAAGGGGCAUGGCUUAUAGGGAAAAGAACAAGCAGAAACAGUGUUCCAGUUGCAACAUCCCCUGUUUCCAAAAUUCAACCCAGCCAUGUGAUGGAAACAAACACUGGGACAACCAGAAGCAGUUUUAGUACAAGGGAGGAAAGAGGCCAGAGAGUUGGAAAGAAGCCAAAAGAAGCCAAUAUAGCACUAGUACCUAAAGAGAAACAAGAUUCGACUUUAACAAGAAACUAUAGGCCGAUAUCAUUAUUGAAUAACGACUACAAGUUGUUCACAACAAUUCUAGCUGGUAGACUGAAAAUAAUUUUGCAAGAAUUUAUUCAUGAGGAUCAAUGUGGGUUUUUACCUAAAAGACAAUUAAAGGACAAUGUUAGAAAUGUGUUGGACAUUUUGGAAUAUUUGGAGCAACGUAAUGAAAAACAAGCCACACUGAUUUUCUUAGAUGCAGAGAAGGCCUUUGAUUUUUUAGAUAGAUAGAUAGAUAGAUAGAUAGAUAGAUAGAUAGAUAGAUAGAUAGAUUUAAAUUUUCUAUCACCACCCAUCUCCCCCGAAAAGGGGGAGAUAAUUUGAACUUGGCAUUCUUUUUUCAAGGUUUUGGAAGAUAGGAAUUUUGGAGAGAACUUUAUAAAAUGGGUAAGAUCAAUUUACACCUCACAGAAAGCACAAAUAAUUGUUAAUGGAGAUCUAACAAAACCCUGGGAGAUACAAAAAGGAACAAGACAGGGAUGCCCACUGUCUCCUCUCUUGUUUAUUUUGGCUCCUGAAAUACUGAAUAGAGAUAUAAGUCAAGAUUGUGGAAGUAAAGAUUAUAAGUUAAGGGCCUUUGCUGAUGAUUUGGUGUUGGUUUUGGAAGAUCCUUUAAAGGGAAUUGAAACAUUAACGGGCAAAUUAAAAGAAUUUGGUGCAUUAGCAGGUUUCAAGAUUACUAAACAGAAGCCGAUGUUAACAAAAAUAUGAAAAAUAGAAGAUCAAACACAAUUGAUGAAUAAAACAGGUUUUAAGAUUGAGAAGAAGUAAAAUAUCUGGGCAUCACUUUGACAAAUAUGAACUGUAUGUUAUUUCAAAAUAACUAUGUUAAGACAUGGAAUGAAGUUAAAAAAGAUAUGUUAAGGUGGGAGAAACUACAACUGUCAUUGCUGGGGAGAACUUCUGUGAUAAAAAUGAAUGUUUUGCCUAGAAUGAUGUUUUUGUUUCAGGCAAUACCUGUUUUGACAACUGAUGCACUAUUUAAACAGUGGCAGAAGGAUAUAUCUAAAUUUGUGUGGCAGGGGGAAAAGCCAAGAGUUAAAUAUAAGGUGUUAAUAAGAUGCAACGGAAAGAGGAGGAUUGGGUCUACCUGAUUUGAAAUUGUAUUUUGCAGCUUGCUGUUUGGUUUGGAUGAAAGAGUGGGUGCUGCUGAGAAAUAGAAGGCUCUUGGAGUUAGGAGGACAUGCCCUGAGAUUUGGGUGGCAUGGAUAUUUGUGGUAUGACAAAGUCAAGUUUAAUGUGCAUUUUAAAAACCAUUAUGUUAGACAUAGGGAAUAGAUACAAAGCCAGGUUGUGCCCAAAAACACCUUUCUGGCUCUCAGCACAAGAAGCAUUUUAUAGACAAGAAAUAAUAGGCAAACACAAAUGGCUAACUUAGCAUGAGUUACUAGAAUUUUGUCAAGGGGAAUGUAAAAUAAAAUCAAGAGAAGAACUGGUGGCAGAGGGAUAUAGUUGUCAAUGGUUCUCCUAUUUACAGUUAAUAGAAAGAUUUGAAGUAGACAAAAGAGUUUAUGGUUUUGAACAAUGUAAGACUGAGUUUGAAACAGAAUUGUGUACAAAUGAUGAACAUAUAAUUGCUAAAAUGUAUAAACUUUUGUUGAAAUUUGAAACAGAAGAGCAAGUGAAAGAAUAUAAUAAAGUGGGCUAAAAACUUUGGUUAUAAUAUACAGAUGGAACAAUGGAAAAAUAUGUGGCUGAAAGGACUGAAAUUCACACUGUGUAUAUAACCUUAAAGGAGCAUUGUUAUAAAAUGAUGUACUGUUGGUAUAUCUCACCAGAGAAAUUAUCUAGAAUGUAUAAAGGCACUUCAAAAUUAUGUUGGAAAACAACAAGAAGGGACAAUUUAUCAUGUUUGGUGGACAUGUAAAAAGCUAGAAAAUUCUGGAUUCAAAUACACACACUGGUUCAGAGGAUUUUAAAGAUUUAUAAACAACUGAGACCAGAGGUUUUUCUUUUGGGAUUGAUGGACAAACAGUUGGAAAAAAAUCAUGGAACAAUGUUUUUGUACCUGAUAACUGCAGCGAGAUUAUUGCAUGCACAAAGACGGAAAGAUUCGGCACUACCCACAAUGGAGGAAUGGUUGGUGAAGAUGGUGGAACUUGCUGAGAUGGCUAAUUGACUUUUUUGAUCAGAGAAAAGACAGUAUCUAUGUUUAUUGCUGACUGGAAACCCCUUAAGAGACUUUUUGCAUGAAACAGAAAAAAAAAUGAACUUUAUGGUUUUGAUGAUCAGACAGGAUAGCUUAUAGAAAGAAGAGAGUUAUGUUGUAAUCAUAG